ensembl:lncRNA
CUCCUCGAAGAAAUGGCUUCUCUCUGAAAAAAAUGUUGAACUGAAAUAGUUUAUCAGCGUUUUAUUGUACAGCAUCUUCACAAACAACAGAAUGCAACGCAACUGACAUAUUGAGGCAUUUCUGGGCAGUGGAGUGUUAAACGGCCCCGGCAAGAGUGGCUCCCCCCACACGCGCUCGCUGCCAGACAGACCAAAUUCUACUUUAACUCCAGGAAAGAUGAAAUGCUGCCUCUCAUGAGGGUUGCUGUCUAUCCGGCAUCUCGUCGACAUUUAUGGAAGAAGAACUCGCCGUUGCGCGGUUUCCGCACGACUGACAAGCUCUGAAAAACGCAACGAUGCCGGAGAAAAUGACUCAUGCAAAGUGGAGCCUGUCAAGCCAAUGAGGAUGGAAGAGGAAGACAGGGCCGCCGAAAUGAGGUGCAUGAUGGCUGACUGACAACCUUCACAGCUGGUGCCACAAUAAUUUUGAAAAGAAUACUGUUUUAAAAAGAGAGAGAAAAGAAGCUGCUGCUCAAAGACAGAGAAGCAGGAAACACUUCUGGCAGCGAGAAUUUCCUGAGAGCGAAUCGAGAGGAUGGCUGCGGUGAACGCCGGCCCAGAAUGCACCACAGGAAGUGUCUGCGAGACUCCAGAAGCAGAGGUCAAGGCCAGGGGUCAACGGGUGGCACAGCAGAGAUUUACGCCGAGAGCAAACCCAGCCCGUUCCCAGCCUUCAUCCAUUUCCCGGGGAAAUUAGCCAUAAAGUCUCCGUUUUCAUCUUUCAAGAGCCGCAGGGGUGGUGAGGAGGAUGUUGUCGCUGACUUUUGAAGCAUCUGACAGGGCGAGCGAGAGGAGGGGUGAAACUGAUCCCGACACUGACAUGCAGAGACCUCCGGGGUCAAAGGUCACGACCCUGGUAACGCAAAGGUACGGACGGCCCGGGAGGAUUGUGACGAGCUGUGUGUGACCGACUCUCGCUGCCAGUGAGCUCAAAAAAUUUUCAUGUCUUGCAUGCAACUGGCACGGUGUGAAUCCUCAUGUCUGCACAUGGAGUCUCACGCAGACAGACACCUCCGGUUCAAGCUCAGAGCGUUAAGGCAGUCCAAAGCCGAGGGCUUCCCUUCAUCCAGAUGUGAUUGGAUGGUUCAGCACCUCUCAAGAGCCUGAUGAAUAUUCAAAGAUCCAGGGUAGAGGAGAUGCCAGCAUGACUUUUUUUCUUUUUGAGAGGGAAAGUGCAUUUAUCAACAGCAGAUUUAAAGCACAAACUAAUUGUGAAGUGCAAGCUGCUCAUGCCAGGCAAAACGAGAGAGACAUUAGAAGAAUGAGUGCAGCACCAUCUGUGGGCAGGAAGUGAUGAGGCGAAACUUGGCGAAAACGUGACGUGCAGCGGCUCCAGUGGAGGAUCCAGACUCGUCUCUGGUGUGUGUGGGCCAUGGAGGACUCAUCUGGAGAUCCAGCCUGGACGGGGGGAGACGCUGAGAGUCGCGCUUCUCUCGUUGGGCCUUUCGCAUGCUUAUUAACUUCAAUCCAGCAGCCUGGCUGCAACAAACUCAUGCCAAAUCACUCAAACAUUUGCACUGCCUUUGUGUUCCUCACCUGCACACACUGGGCUGUUUUCUUUUCUAUUCUUCUAUUCUUUUAGAUAAAAAUGUAAAAAAAAAAAAAAAAAAAAAGUAGUGUCAUAUAACAAGGAAACAAUUUAAGCACGCAUAACAGUAAUUUGAUUAAACAAUCAUAACUUCAUUGAAGAGCAAGUUCCACAUGAACAGGCAAUUAAUUUUACUUCUGUAAUGUUGUUUAUUUCCAAGUGCAAUAGGACUUAUCUAUUGGGAACUGAUUGGUAAAAAUAAAAUGUCAAAAACAUACUUAAGCAGUCAUAAUCCCAAUUUCAUUGAAGAGCAAGUUCCACAUGAAAAGGCAUUUGCAAACCAUUUUAAUUCUGUAAUGUAAUGGAUUUUCAAGUCAGAGUGGAACUUUUGAAAAAUAUAUGACUUUUAUCUCUUGAGAUUGUACUGAUAAAUGUACAAAAA